AGUAGAAUUGCUGGAUCAUAUGGUAAUACUGUUUAAUUUUUUGAGAAACAGCCAUGCUGUUUUCCACAAUGGCUGCACCAUUUUUCAUUCCCAUUAGCAAU
rnacentral:pre_miRNA from 1 species